GUCAACUGUUCAGAGCCAUGGUGGGUGACAGCGAAAGGUGAAGGAGAUGAGCGGCGCCCUCGUCCUGCUCCUCCUCAAGCGAACGCGGCGCCGUGCCCGCAGGAGAUGCGGCGUGAACGUCCGCAUCAAAUGGAGCUGAGGCUCAACACGUUCAUCCCUUCUGGCGAUCUCGCGGGCCGUCGACACGGACUGCCUGACUGAGUUAAACGUGCGCGGACGUGCGCACGGAGGAUCUAUCCAGCAACAACUGAGGCCUCAUUUCCACCAAACGGUGCAGAACGGUUCAGUUCGAAGACCAAACAACCGAGCGCCAAAGAAUGGACUCUAAUGGCCGCCUCAGCUGCAAAGUUGCAAAAUAAAACAAAUACUUUUGCACUAUUUGCACGACCCAUCAGCUAAACCAGAUACUUGGGUCCAAC